UUUAUUUCUGUCAUCUCCUGUUAUGGAUGGAAGUGCAUUCAGUACUCAUUUAUAAGAAUACUCCACACAAAAAAAAGAUCACUUGAAGUUCCGAUGCUCCUAAAGAGCACUGUUUAUCAAAGUAUUUGCCCAACUCCCUGGUAAACCUCUGAGGAUUAUCAAAGAAAACUAUGAAAGCCAAAUUCUAGUGGAGGAAGGUUGGCAAUGAAGAACCUGCCUGCAUCUGAUUCAUACCCUGAGGAUCCAUGAUUUAAAGUGAAACCGAUUCCCAGAAGUUUCCAAAGAAGGGCAACUAUUAAAAGGAGGAUUUGCAGACUGAGUCCACUCACACUCGGGAACGUGCCACAGAAAUGAAGCAGAAAGACUGGCUUUGUUUUCUCAAGGACCAAGAAUCUAAUAAAAAGGUGCCCUGCACAGAACCAUGA
rnacentral:lncRNA from 12 species